GGGGAUAUGGCGCAGCUGGUAGCGCAACUGCUUUGCAAGCAGUGGGUCGUGGGUUCGAGUCCCACUAUCUCCACCA
rnacentral:tRNA from 1 species